AACGAACGCUGGCGGCAGGCCUAACACAUGCAAGUCGAGCGGACCCUUCGGGGUUAGCGGCGGACGGGUGAGUAACGCGUGGGAAUAUGCCCUUCUCUACGGAAUAGUCCUGGGAAACUGGGGGUAAUACCGUAUACGCCCUUUGGGGGAAAGAUUUAUCGGGGAAGGAUUAGCCCGCGUUGGAUUAGGUAGUUGGUGGGGUAAUGGCCUACCAAGCCGACGAUCCAUAGCUGGUUUGAGAGGAUGAUCAGCCACACUGGGACUGAGACACGGCCCAGACUCCUACGGGAGGCAGCAGUGGGGAAUCUUAGACAAUGGGGGCAACCCUGAUCUAGCCAUGCCGCGUGAGUGAUGCAGGCCUUAGGGUUGUAAAGCUCUUUCAGCUGGGAAGAUAAUGACGGUACCAGCAGAAGAAGCCCCGGCUAACUCCGUG
rnacentral:rRNA from 1 species